UCGAGCGGUAGAGAGAAGCUUGCUUCUCUUGAGAGCGGCGGACGGGUGAGUAAUGCCUAGGAAUCUGCCUGGUAGUGGGGGAUAACGUUCGGAAACGGACGCUAAUACCGCAUACGUCCUACGGGAGAAAGCAGGGGACCUUCGGGCCUUGCGCUAUCAGAUGAGCCUAGGUCGGAUUAGCUAGUUGGUGAGGUAAUGGCUCACCAAGGCGACGAUCCGUAACUGGUCUGAGAGGAUGAUCAGUCACACUGGAACUGAGACACGGUCCAGACUCCUACGGGAGGCAGCAGUGGGGAAUAUUGGACAAUGGGCGAAAGCCUGAUCCAGCCAUGCCGCGUGUGUGAAGAAGGUCUUCGGAUUGUAAAGCACUUUAAGUUGGGAGGAAGGGCAGUUACCUAAUACGUGAUUGUUUUGACGUUACCGACAGAAUAAGCACCGGCUAACUCUGUGCCAGCAGCCGCGGUAAUACAGAGGGUGCAAGCGUUAAUCGGAAUUACUGGGCGUAAAGCGCGCGUAGGUGGUUAGUUAAGUUGGAUGUGAAAUCCCCGGGCUCAACCUGGGAACUGCAUUCAAAACUGACUGACUAGAGUAUGGUAGAGGGUGGUGGAAUUUCCUGUGUAGCGGUGAAAUGCGUAGAUAUAGGAAGGAACACCAGUGGCGAAGGC
rnacentral:rRNA from 1 species